UUGUUAAUUUAAGGAAAUUUAUUUUGAGCGGUGCGUGAAUUUAAGGAAGAUACCUAAUCUUUCAAGAGUCAUCACCUUAAAAUCCUUGAUUGCUUUAACUGCGAAAGUUCAAUUGAACUUUGGAAUGAAGAUGAUCAUAUGGUAUGUGUUUUCAUAUUUAUUUGAAAAAAUAAUUUAUAAUUUGAUGUAUCAAAUAUUUAUAUGAUAACAUUUUAUUUAAAGUUUUUAAAAAUAAAUAUAAAAGAUUUUAUUUUAUUUAGUUAAAUGACAUCGUUUGAUUUAUUAAUUGUGGAUUAAUUUUCACGCCCGAUCGUCAAAUAUAAAUUUUAUUUUUAUUCUAUUAUAAUUAUUUAUUUUCUUUUCAUUUUUACUGCCUAACAUAAAUAGUUAAUACUUAAAAGUAACACAAUUAUUUUUUCUAUACAAGACGUUGUUAAUUUAAAGAAAAUUUACUUUAAAGAGUGCGUGAAUUUAAGAAAGAUACCUAAUCUUUCAAGAGCCAUUAGAGUGCUUUAUUGCUCUAACUGUGAAAGUUUAGUUGCACUUCCUUGCCUCAAUCAUUUGGCAUCUCUUGCUAAGCUUCUACUUUAUGGAUGUUCUAGUCUCAAGGAGUUUCCUCAAGUCCCAAGUCAUUUUCGUUCUUUAAAUUUAUCAGAAACGGGAAUAGAAGAAGUGCCUGAUUCAAUUAAGAAUCUCCACAAACUUGAAUCUUUGCUGUUGGGGAACUCACAGGUAAAAAAAGUAUCGAUCAAGUUGGAACUCCUUCGUAAAUUGGAUCUUAGUGGUUGCCCAAUUACAGAACUGCCUUUCGACUCUCUAUGUAAUCUUCAGCACUUAAAUAUGAGUGGCUCAGCGGUAAAAAAUGUGUCGAUCAAGUUGGAAUCUCUUCGUUAUCUGCAUCUUAGUGGUUGCCCAAUGGUCGAAUUACUCUCAGAGCUUCCACCAUAUCUGGAAGUCUUGAGUGUAAAUGACUGCAAAUCGUUAGAAAAAGUAUCCUUUGCAGAUCAAAAUUUAAAUCAGUUUGGUUCUUUAGAUAAUGAGUUUUGCAGAAAUCCUAAAUUUUUUAUGCAAUUCCGUAAUUGCUUAAACUUAAAUCAAGCGUCAACAAAAAACAUUGAGGCAAAUGCCAUGCUCAAAAUUGGAUCCCUAUUUAAGGAAUGGGCAGCGACGUAUGCUAGGAAAAACUUUCGUGAGUACCCUCAAAGUUUGAUUUGCUGUUUCGCAGGAAACGAAAUUUUAGCAAAUAAUUUCAAGUAUCGGAGCUUGAAUUCUUCCUUAAGUUUGAAGAUAGCCCCAAAUGGGGGUAGUGGGAGCAGAUUUUUGGUUUUUGCUAUCUGCCUUGUAGCUAAUCUCGCUCACCGCCAUUAUUUUCUACAUCCUCUAUUUAAUUGUAAGUACCAACUUACAGCCGCCGGUGGUGGCAAUGGUGGAGGUGGUUGUGAAAAUUUCAUAAGUAAGAUAUCUUUCGGCAGUCUUUUUGAGCUAGAUACGUACAUGGGUAAUCACGUGUUUAUUCUAUCUAGCACCGACAUGGUUAUAGAAGACAAGAAUUAUGAGGAGGCAUCAUUCAAUUUCUACAUCGGACAUUUGGAUUUAAACGCCGCAGAAGGAGGGUUUAUGGAGGUGGAGAGAUGUGGUGUUCAUGUAUUUUACGUGGAUAAAGAGAGUGAUACAGAUGCUACUGAAAAGAGAGUUGCUGGGAACAAAAGAAGCUUUAGCCAUGAUGGUGAAGAAGGGGAUGGAGGACUUAAAAGACUGAAAUAGUUUGUAUUUCGUUCCAUUUUUGGCUCUGCUUUUGAGGAAUUUCUAACUUCUCAAUUAUGUCAUCCAAAUGCAUGGGACCAGUGGUGGACUCGAUUCAACUUCAUUGUUUAGUUUCCAGCAUUGGUGUCAUCUGAUAUAUCAAUACUUGCUGCAUUUUCCUUCAAUGAUAUCUAGAUUCAUUAGAAAGAUUAGUUAUUUUUGCCACUGCUGAAUUGGAGCUUUGGCCAUAUAAGGAGGAGGACCUGAACUAUUCGUGAACACAACUUCAAAGUAAUCUUUUGAGGCCCUUUCUGGGUUCUGGCAAUUCAGUCUUGGUGAAGAAAAUUUGCAAGAAAUCUCAAAACUUGUGGGAUGAACACUUGGAGCUAGAUGCAACCUUCGACAGUUUUCAUUAUCAAGCUAGAUUGGGUUAGUUCCAUGGUAGAGCCAUUGGAGUUGACAGCUUCUUAUCUUGGAUUUUGAUUAUCAUAUCAGUUCGGGCUGAAAUUUCUUUGAUCAGUGGUGGACAUCAUUCAGCUUAAUUGUUUAGGUUCCACCAUUUGUAACGCCCCCACGCCCGAAACCAUCACCGGAGUCAAGCUUGAGCUAAGGUAAACCUACCAACUAUUCCAUAAAACUUGGAUGAAAGUCAAGCCGGACACAGAGUCAAUACUCUACUGGAAUUGAAGUUGCAGAUUAUGGGUGGUUUUGAUAUCUUCUUUCUCACCAACAAAUGAUGUUCCCACAAAAUUACUAGUGUUAAGGGAAUAAAGAUGGGAGUGAUUGAUGUAAGGAAAGCAGACGAGGGAAUAAAUGACAGAUGUUUGUAAGAAAGCCGCCUUGUUCAUCCCAUCCAGCUUUGCUUUCUGGAUUUUGGCCCUUGAGAGGAAGCAUAUGCUCUUGGUUGACUUGUUAUUGGCUGGUUUUAAUUCAUAGGAUCAGUGCUGGACUUCAUUCAGCUUCAUCGUUUAGUUUCCAGCCUUGGUUCUUAUGCCCUAGGGUUUUAAUGCGACGUAACAUAUGUUAACCAAAACAAAGAGUCAAUAGAGAAUUGAUGGUAGAUCUUUGGAAAUGCCAUUAUGCUUGGAGCUUUACCUAUACUAGAAAAAGGAGGAACAGAUUUGCCUUCUUGAUCUUGUUCAACAUUGAGUCAGUUCAAAUAUGAAGCUAUUUCCUAAGCUCUUUCUGGUUUUGAACCUUGAGAGGAACCAUAUGCACUUCGGAAGUUCCUUCCUUGAGAGGUGUUAUAGUAUGUAAAUAAUACACGUAUGAGUGAUAAGUCAGGUGGUUAGGCAGUUAACAAAGUUGGUAUUUUGUUAAAGAUUGUUAACAGCAGUUAGGCCUUCUUCUACUGUAUAUAAACCAUAUCUGUGUACUGAAUAGAAGCUAAGCAAUACAGAAUAAUCUCUUCAGAUAUUUAUUUUUUAA